UCAGUCGACUCCUACGGGGAGGCAGCAGUGGGGGAAUAUUGCACAAUGGGCGCAAGCCUGAUGCAGCCAUGCCGCGUGUAUGAAGAAGGCCUUCGGGUUGUAAAGUACUUUCAGCAGUGAGGAAGGUGGGGUAUGUUAAUAGCAUACUCAUUUGACGUUAGCUGCAGAAGAAGCACCGGCUAACUCCGUGCCAGCAGCCGCGGUAAUACGGAGGGUGCGAGCGUUAAUCGGAAUUACUGGGCGUAAAGCGCAUGCAGGUGGUUUGUUAAGUCAGAUGUGAAAGCCCGGGGCGUCAACCUCGGAAUUGCAUUUGAAACUGGCAAACUAGAGUACUGUAGAGGGGGGUAGGAAUUUCAGGUGUAGCGGUGAAAUGCGUAGAGAUCUGAAGGAAUACCGGUGGCGAAGGCGGCCCCCUGGACAGAUACUGACACUCAGAUGCGAAAGCGUGGGGAGCAAACAGGAUUAGAUACCCUGGUAG
rnacentral:rRNA from 1 species